UACAGAGGUCUCAAGCGUUGUUCGGAUUCAUUGGGCGUAAAGGGUGUGUAGGUGGCGCCGUAAGUCGGGUGUGAAAUCUCGGGGCUUAACUCCGAAACUGCAUUCGAUACUGCGGUGCUUGAGGACUGGAGAGGAGACUGGAAUUCAUGGUGUAGCAGUGAAAUGCGUAGAGAUCAUGAGGAAGACCAGUGGCGAAGGCGGGUCUCUGGGCCGUAACUGACGCUGAGGAGCGAAAGCGUGGGGAGCGAACAGG
rnacentral:rRNA from 1 species